UACGUAGGGGGCCAGCGUUGUCCGGAUUCAUUGGGCGUAAAGCGCGUGUAGGCGGCCAGGUAGGUCCGAUGUGAAAUCUGGAGGCUCAACCUCCAGCGGUCAUUGGAAACCAUCUGGCUAGAGUCCGGGAGAGGUGAGUGGAACUGCGAGUGUAGAGGUGAAAUUCGUAGAUAUUCGCAAGAACACCAGUGGCGAAGGCGGCUCACUGGCCCGGUACUGACGCUGAGGUGCGAAAGCGUGGGGAGCAAACAGG
rnacentral:rRNA from 1 species